UAUGCCACAAUCAUCUUCCUCCUCUUCUUCAUCCUCCUCCAAAUUCACCUAUAACGUGUUCCUAAGUUUCAGAGGAGCUGACACUCGCCAUGGUUUUACCGGCAAUCUUUACGAUGCUCUAUGUAAAAGUGGAGUCCACACUUUCAAGGAUGACGAGGAGCUUCAACGAGGGGGUGAAAUAACAGCAUCACUUAUGAAAGCCAUUGAAGAGUCCAGAAUUUUCAUCCCUGUUUUCUCAAAGAACUAUGCUUCUUCUUCAUUUUGUUUGGACGAACUUGUCCACAUCAUUCGUUACUCCAAGUCAAAGGGACGCCUGGUUCUACCAGUUUUCUAUGAUAUUGCUCCUACUCAUGUACGAAAGCAGACUGGGAGCAUCGGUGAAGAACUUGCGAAGCAUCAAGAGAAGUUCCAAAAGAAUAUGGAAAGGCUGCAGGAAUGGAAGAUGGCUCUUAAAGAAGCAGCUGAGCUUUCCGGCCACCACUUCAAUCUUGCGGGGUACUCCACUUCAUUCUUUGUUUCUUAUAUUAUCCAUUGUCUCAUCAUUUAAUCUUAUAACUUGAAUGGGAAAAGAUUUUAGAAUUAAUUGAAUCUUAGGGAUAAUAACGAUCAUCAUACGGGUUCAGUAAGUUUUUGAUUUUAUAUAAAUCUCAACUUUCGUUUUUUGUUCUCUAAAAAUUUACAGACGACCUGACAUUCGCGAUGGUUUUACCGGCAAUCUUUACGAUGCUCUACGUAAAAGUGGAGUCCACACUUUCAUGGAUGACGAAGAGCUUCAACGAGGGGGUGAAAUAACACCAUCGCUUGUGAAAGCCAUUGAAGAAUCCAGAAUUUUC
rnacentral:lncRNA from 1 species